UUUCCGUAGGUGAACCUGCGGAAGGAUCAUUUAUAAUAAAGUGUUUUAUGGCACUUUUUAAAAAUCCAUAUCCACCUUGUGUGCAAUGUUAGAUCUCGUCAAUCUUGGCGAGAUUUUUAUACAUCAACUCAUUUUUUAACUAAUUUGUCUGAAAGAUAUUAUGAAUACUUAAUUCAAAAUACAACUUUCAACAACGGAUCUCUUGGCUCUC
rnacentral:misc_RNA from 1 species